rnacentral:rRNA from 1 species
AUUGAACGCUGGCGGCAGGCCUGACACAUGCAAGUCGAGCGGCAGCGGGAAAGUAGCUUGCUACUUUUGCCGGCGAGCGGCGGACGGGUGAGUAAUGCCUGGGAAAUUGCCCAGUCGAGGGGGAUAACAGUUGGAAACGACUGCUAAUACCGCAUACGCCCUACGGGGGAAAGCAGGGGACCUUCGGGCCUUGCGCGAUUGGAUAUGCCCAGGUGGGAUUAGCUAGUUGGUGAGGUAAUAGCUCACCAAGGCGACGAUCCCUAGCUGGUCUGAGAGGAUGAUCAGCCACACUGGAACUGAGACACGGUCCAGACUCCUACGGGAGGCAGCAGUGGGGAAUAUUGCACAAUGGGGGAAACCCUGAUGCAGCCAUGCCGCGUGUGUGAAGAAGGCCUUCGGGUUGUAAAGCACUUUCAGCGAGGAGGAAAGGUUGAUGCCUAAUAACUGCCAGCUGUGACGUUACUCGCAGAAGAAGCACCGGCUAACUCCGUGCCAGCCGCCGCCGUAAUAC